ACAAAUGAAGCAAACACAAACAUGUUUUCCAAAGCAUGCUCCUUUGUCAUGCGACACACUCCUUUUUCAAAAGAGUCCUGCGGCACCAACAGAGCACUCGGGCAUCAGAGGGAGGACUGAUGCAGCUCUCACUGAAAACAUGGCAAGCUCUCCAGCACCAAGCCGAACAGAGAGGGUCCCAUUAGCAACACUUUUUGCUGUAAGCUGUCUGUCUCUGUGCCUUAUUCCUACUUCCUGUAAUGGGACCCGACUGUAUGAAGGAGCCUACAGUCAAAAAUCAUUCCCGCUACCCUGA